GGACGUAGCACAAUGGCAGUGCGGCGGUCUCCAAAACCGUUUAUGGGGGUUCGAUUCCCUCCGUCCC
rnacentral:tRNA from 1 species